GUGGUAUGUGUGUCUUGUGUGGGGGAGAGAAGGUGUAUGUGUUUAUGAAAAUGGCUCUCAGUGUCAACCCAGGAUGGGGCUGGAGAUCCUCCUUCAUCCCUGCACCCUUAUAUCACAGAGCUUUUCGGCCCUUCUCUAGCAUCUUUCCUUUGUAAGAGAAGAAACGUCUAGGUAGAAUGGAUUUGUUUCCCAUUUCAGGGAACAAACAAGAGUGCCUCAAAGAAGUUCUGAGAGGACUAUUAUCAGUGACUGCCACAUUGAUUCAUUGGAUCAUAUAACCUUAGGAGCCCCAGCCCAGAUCACAGGAAAAGUGUGAGGUUGCCAUGGGCAUUCCUGAAAAAACUAGAAACUUCCGGCACCACUUUAGACUUUAAAAAAUGCAGAAGAAGCUCACUCUGCCUGCCUGUUUCCUCGCUAAAGCACUAUAGCUCUGUACUAUACGUGGAAGGCAACGGUUCGAGGAUUCAAACCAAGAGAGGCAAAAGGAGGAUCUUUGUGACAACCAGCUUGAAAUGGCAGCCUCGCUCGCUUCGUAGAACAAGAAAAGCUGUUCCAGCAGCUGAUGUUAGAGUUCCUCACACUCUUGCUGAAAAACCUAUACUCUGCAGAGUGUAGGAUUAGAAUACCAUCUAAGAAGCAGCAGCAACAGCUUUCUACUUCUGACAAUAUCUACAAAGAAAAUGGAAAAAUACUUGUAAUCAAGGACUUCAACUCGACAGUUACCUAGCUUGUCAAAUUAAAACAUGUGGCAACCACCUGCUAAAUAUCUUGAAAGAAUGAUACUUUCUUAUUUUUCUCCCUGACCUAAAAUCUCUUUGGAGUACAUUUGCAAUUCCUAAUUUUUCACACUUAAACAAAAGCUGUCCGCACUAUGUUUAAAGAUGACUAAGCAAUUUUGUAUUAAGUAACCGAAGAUCACCCUGCCAAUUUUAGAAUAAUUAAGUUUCUGCAGCCGAAUAUAAACAGUUCCAAGAACUACAUACGGCCUACCAAAAGUAUAUAUUACAAGUAGUCAACCCUGUGGCCAGCUGGCAGACAGAUCAACAUGUUAAAGUAGAAUUGUUCAGAAUUUGGAGUAUUAUUUUUCUUUUCUCCCAAUAUUUUUUCUGCAUCCAAUUUUGUUUCCUUGGGAAUGUUUUCAAGUAUACAAAGCAAGAAACUAUUGUGGGAUUGCACCUCUUGUAAACGAAUGAGCAUUUCUCUUGAGAUCCUUUGGAAUGCACAUAUCAUUCCCAUUUCAAUUCCAUCUACACAGGCAGCCAAAGAAAAAUGGAGCAAAUGAAUCCACCUUCGUACCCCUCAAGUGAAAGUAUUCAUAUUGUGCUUGAUCACCAGAAAGAUCUGCAUUGACCACUGGACAAGUGAAUGUGGACAUUAAGCCAUAGGUCUGUUGAGUACCAAAACACCUUUCUGACCCUAGAUCCUUGCACUGUGCAUUCGUCUGCUCUUGCAGUGCUAUAAAGAACCAUCUGAGACUGUGUAAUUUAUAAAGAAAAGAGUUUAAUUGGCUCAUGAUUCUGCAGGCUGUAUGAGUAACCUGGCUGGGGAGGCCUCAGGAGACUUUCAAUCAUGGUGGAAGGCAAACAGGAAGCAGGCAUGCCUGACAUGGCCGGAGUAGGAGGAAGAAAGAGCAGGGGAGGUGCUGCACACUUUUAAACAGCCAUAUCUUGUGAGAACUCACUCAGUAUCACGAGAACAGCAAGGAGGAAAUCCUUCCCCAUGAUCCAAUCACCUCCCACCAGGCCCCUCCUCCAACAAUGGGGAUCACAAUUCGACAUGAGAUUUGGCAGGGACACAAAUCCAAACCAUAUCACACUGCCUUUACCAGAUAGCUUUGUGGGCCAGAAUUUCUUGCUAAUAAGGCUAAAGUCACAGAUUUAUCCCACCAGGAAUGAGUUACUCAUUUGAGGGGAAAAAAAUCCUGAACUACGGCCCUGUGCUAUGACAUUAAUCCAGGCCAGCUAUAUGACAGAUGUAGCUGACCACCUUAAACUGAGAAAAUAGAGAUGGUUAGUUUAGCCCAUCCCGCCGUGACCUUCAGUAGUGUGUAUGGCCAAAUGAAUGUGAGUGUGUCAUCACACAAAAAGCCCCUACAUAUUCAGCUGCAUUAAAAGUCUUGUCGUCUUCUGCAUUAUAUUUAAAUUCAGAUACAAUCAAGAGUGGCUGAGACUCUACAACCAUCAUCCCAAUGAGAACUUUAAUAAAAAUAUUCAGUGUAGAUCAUUAAAAAGUCAGGAAACAACAGAUGCUGGAGAGGAUGUGGAGAAAUAGGAAUGCUUUUACACUGUUGGUGGGAGUGUAAGUUAGCUCAACCAUUGUGGAAGACAGUGUGGCAAUUCCUCAAGGAUCUAGAACUAGAAAUACCAUUUGACCCAGCAAUCCCAUUACUGGGUAUAUACCCAAAGGAUUAUAAAUCAUUCUACUAUAAAGACACAUGCACAUGUAUGUUUAUUGCAGCACUAUUCACAAUAGCAAAGACUUGGAACCAACCCAAAUGUCCAUCAAUGAUAGACUGGAUUAAAAAAAAUGUGGCACAUAUAAACCAUGGAAUACUAUGCAGCCAUAAAAAAGGAUGAGUUCAUGUCCUCUGCAGGGACAUUGAUGAAGCUGGAAACCAUCAUUCUCAGCAAACUAACACAAGAACAGAAAACCAAACACAGUAUGUUCUCACUCAUAAUUGGAAGUUGAACAAUGAGGACACAUGGGCACAGGA